GCUGCUGUGGCUCAGUGUAGAGUAUCCUCUCAAUCUGUUCUGCAGACCGUUUCUGAGGAAGCUGUGGGCUCGAAUCCCACCAGUAGUA